ACCUAUGAGUGCAAGAAAGAAUUCUGGGAAGAUGACAGAAUAUGGAGGAUCAAGAAUCUGUCUCUAUGUCUAGACAACAACUGUAUUGGCAGAAUCUGUCUGAUGUAACUACCUUGGAAUUCUAGAAUCCGUUGAAGGCUUAUGACUUCCAGGAGAAGAGUUGGACAGUAAACCGGUUAAUUUCACUCAAUCUGCUGCUUCCUUUGGACUGGAAAUUAGUUUCCGUCUCAUCUCCAUUUAUCCACCUGACCCUUACUCAUCCUUUAUGGACCAGCUUAGAAGAUUCUUCCUCCAAGCAGUCCUCCCUGGCAAUGGAACCCUGACUGAUAAGAAUGUGAUAUGUUUCAGUAACAGCUAAAGAGACGCCU
rnacentral:lncRNA from 1 species